CGCUAUGGGGUCCCAUUGGAUCCCAUUGGGUUUGGGCUGUCCCUAUGGGGUCCCAUUGGGGUCUGGGGGCCGCUAUAGGGUCUGGGGGUCCCUAUGGGGUCUGGUGGUCCCAUUGGGGUCCCACUGGGGUCCCACUGGAUCCCAUUGGGUUUGGGCCUGUCCCUAUGGGGUCCCAUUGGGGUCUGGGGGUCCCACCGGGGUCCCAUUGGAUCCCAUUGGGUUUGAGCUGUCGCUGUGGGGUCCCAUUGGGGUCUGGGGGUCCCACCGGGGUCCCAUUGAUUCCCAUUGGGUUUGAGCUGUCACUGUGGGGUCCCAUUGGGGUCUGGGGGCCGCUAUAGGGUCUGGGGGUCCCUAUGAGGUCUGGUGGUCCCAUUGGGGUCCCAUUGGAUCCCAUUGGGUUUGGGCCUGUCCCUAUGGGGUCCCAUUGGGGUCUGGGGGUCGUUAUGGGCUCUGGGGGUCCCGUUGGGGUCCCACUGGAUCCCAUUGCGGUCUGGGGGUCCCAUUGGAUCCCAUUGGGGGUCCCUAUGGGGUCUGAGGGUCCCACUGGGGUCCUAUUGGAUCCUAUUAGGUUUGGGCUGUUCCUGUGGGGUCCCAUUGGGGUCUGGGGGUCCCAUUGGGCUCCCAUUAGAUCCCAUUGGGGUCUGGGGGUCCCUAUGGGGUCUGGGGGUCCUGCUGGGGUCCCACUGGAUCCCACUGGGAUCUGGGGGUCCCUACGGGGUCUGGGGGUUGCAUGGGAUCCCAUUGGGUUUGGGCCUGUCCCUAUGGGUUCCCAUUGGGGUCUAGGGGUCCCAUUGGGGCCUGGGGGUCCCACUGGGGCGCGUGGGUCGCUAUGGGGCGCCCCAGUGGGUCGCUAUGGGGUGGGGGGGGUGGGGUGGGGGACGCACGUGUACGCGGCCAGGCUGCUGUCGUAGGUGGUCUUGACGCCGUAGUUCUCCUCGUUGAAGCGGAACAUCUCGGCCGGGUCCCACCCGUUGGACUGCGACGCACGGGACCCCCGUCACCACCCCCCA
rnacentral:lncRNA from 1 species